rnacentral:other from 1 species
AAAUCCCCGCAUUGGUUCGGAUGUAGCGUUUGGGAAGAACCAACACCAAUGUAAUGGGAGUUUGACUCCAGGCGCCUAAUGCAGGCCUUCCCCGGAGAAGGAAGCAUGAAUCGUCUGGGCGAACACCCACUGUGUCUAAGACGCGGUUCUUCUCCAAAGCCAUUCGGCCAUGCGGGGUUUUU